CCUACGGGAGGCAGCAGUGGGGAAUCUUCCGCAAUGGGCGAAAGCCUGACGGAGCAACGCCGCGUGAGUGAAGAAGGCCUUCGGGUUGUAAAACUCUGUCUUCAGGGAAGAAAGAAAUGACGGUACCUGAGGAGGAAGCCCCGGCUAACUACGUGCCAGCAGCCGCGGUAAAACGUAGGGGGCGAGCGUUGUCCGGAAUUACUGGGCGUAAAGGGCGCGUAGGCGGUUAUCCAAGUCAGAGGUGAAACCUGCCGGCUUAACCGGUAGCCUGCCUCUGAAACUGGGUGACUUGAGGGCAGGAGAGGGGAGUGGAAUUCCCAGUGUAGCGGUGAAAUGCGUAGAUAUUGGGAGGAACACCGGUGGCGAAGGCGGCUCUCUGGCCUGUUACUGACGCUGAGGCGCGAAAGCGUGGGGAGCAAACGGGAUUAGAUACCCCUGUAGU
rnacentral:rRNA from 1 species